CUGUGUCUCAAACAUAUGGUUGUAUUUCUAAUUUAUUCCAGAGGCCUGAGUUAGCCUUCUAUUUUAAAAAAUAAUUUCCCUCUUUUUUAAAUUCUAGCCUUUCUAAUUCUUCUCUAAUGUUCGAGAAACACAUUCUUUUGUAGUUUGUGAUUGGCUUUUAUUUGUGAGUUUGUAUUACUUGCAGGGUUUGUAAUGUCAGAAACCUGUUUUAACAUGUGGUCAAGAGAAGAGAGUAACACCUUAAUUGUAGGUGGAAUGCAUUUUUUACACAGUGACUUUAUCGAGUGUGUUGAAUGUCUAUAUUAUACAUGUAAGUGUGCUUCCCCAGAGGAGAAGCCUUGUAAGGUGAGUAAGCUCUUGAAGACCUCAUGAUGUUGAAUAUAUGGACGAUAUAAUAGUAAACCACAAUAAAGUCAUAGAAACAUGUGAUUGACAUAUGUAUGUUACAAACACUGAGUCCUCUGAGGUCAAGGCUGACACGCUCUGGGUGCAGAGUGGGUUGGAGGGGAGAGAAUUUGGAGGAGAAGAGACUACUGAGAAAGCCUUGUCAGUAGUUCUGUCAUGAAAUUUAGGUUCCUAGAUGUUGAAACAUUUACUCUUUUUUUUUUUUUUUUUCAGAGAGAGGGAGCAUGCAUACAUGCAUCAGCAAGCAGGUGGAGGGGCAGAGGGAGAAGGAGAGAGAAUCUCAAGCAGGCUCCACGCUCAACACAGAGCCUGAUGUGGGGCUCAGUCUUACGACCCAGAGAUUAUGACCUGAGCUGAAAUGAAGAGUCAGAUGCUUAACCGACUGAGCCACCCAGGCACCCCUUACUCAUUUUUUAAAACAGAGCUAAUCUACAGAUUGAAAUCACUGGUUUCUAGUUCAGUGAAAGAAAAUGUAAUGGCAUUGCCACAAAUGAAAAGAUCAUACAGAAUCUUAAACUCAAAGAUCAUACUCAGUAAAGAAAUGAAAUCAGAAUGCUCUUCUGGAAAGAGGAAAUCAAAAUGGGAACAUGUCCAUCUCUUUGCAAGUAAGACUACAUUUUAUCACACAUUGGAAAAGUCAGUUCAGUAUUUCACCAUAAUUUCUCAAUGUUGAAUGCUCAAUUAUUGUGUAAAUUGAGAAAAUAUUUUUGUAACUUGACCAAAGUGGGAAGGAACAUAUUUGUUUAUAAUGUGAAACAGGGAAGUGAGAUCCAGCCAAAGUUCUAACUGUAUUUACGCUGGCAGCUUAAAGAUAGCAGAAAUAAUAGUGUAUUCAGAAAGUAUGCACAAAGAAUCUAAAGCCAUCCAGAAUUAUUCUAUUAGUUGGUCACACACCAAGCAUAUUGAUUUUUAAAAUAGCGUCUAAUUGUUCAGUGGCAUCUAAGAAGUGUGAAACCAACCUCUCAGAGAUAACUCAUACUUUAAAAAUAAAUGUAUAAAAUGGGUGUGCAAGACCAUGAAUGGGUUUGCAAAACUAUAUCAGGAACUAAAAUUAGACAAGGAAUAGACAAAGAAUUUAUAGCUUUGUCAAGGGAUGAGAAUUGGGUCUCAAUAUUUAUUUCUUCUCUCUUCACUUAAAUUUUUACAAGGUAGUGUGGUACACUGAAAAGGCCGUGGAAAUGAACUGAGUCUAACUCCGAGCUUUGUCCUUUACCAGCUCUAUUUCUCUGGGCAAGUGACUUUGCUUCUCUGGGGCACAUGUUUUUUCAUCUGUAGAGCAGAAAUAUUACCUACCUCUACAAUCCCUGUAAAAAUUAUAGAUAAUGUGUAUUUAAAGCGAUUUUUCAAACCUAUCUCUUGAGCCCCCAGUUGUCUCCACUCCCCACCAUUGUCUGCCAUCGGUAUGACCUGGCCGUUCUCUACCACAAUUCCUGAAUUCAAACUAGAGUGAUUUUUACAAAAGAUUUUGAUCCUGUUACUCUCCAGUUAAAUACUCAAAAACAGUCUCCCCUUGUCUUUGGGAUUACGUGCUAAAUCUUGCUGUCUUUGGUAUUAAGCACCUGUCUGACCCUGCUCAACCCUCCAGCCUCAUUGCUCUUUGCUGUAGUUCACCAGACAUCCGGGCCCUUCUUUCGGGGUCUGCAUAGCCGACUGCAGAAACGGCAGGCACAGAGGCAGAGGAGAGAGCGAGUGUGCAGCAAAUACCAGGGAUGGCACAAUCGCGUCUGUAACUGCAGGUAGAAUAUAUGGCAGAUCUUCCGAGGCCAGGCCUGUUUAUUAGACUUAGUGAUGGUUCCAUACUCAGUAACUCAUGCCUCCGUGCUAGAGCCCGGGAGCUAGAGACUCGUGUAGCACAGUAUUGGCACUACCGUAGAAAUAAUUCCUCCGGUGUAUGUUAAAUAUUAUUUCCUCUCAGUAUGAAUCAGUUACCUCACUCAAAACACAGCAACAGUAAGGCCAUAGAGUAAAUUAGGGGCAAAAGUUAAAUGAUGUCUAGAGCUUGGAUGGUCAGGAGACACAGAAAGAAAUUCUUUCUUAUUUGAUCUCCUUGCAAAGAGCAGGAGCUUAAAUCACGGGGAUAUUGAGAACUAAAAGAACAGAAAGUGAUCACCAAGCCGUGGGGGAAUAAAUGGUCUAGAUUAGGCAAACCCAAAUUAUUUACCAUUUGCCAGUGACCCAUGGAUACAGGGGCCAGCAAAAUGCCACUUUUGGAUUGGGGUCAAGCCCUGCUCCUGAAGCAGGAAAUGUUCCCACAGGAAGCCACGCUGACCCAUGGCCAGGCUACUGGACUUGGAAGGAGCAGCUGCUAGGGAUGCUGCGUCUGUUGCCCAGGCUGUUACGAAGCUAGAUGAAGCCCCACUAGUUGAGUGAGAAAAUACUUCACCUUAACUUUUCAGCACCUGUCCUUGGAGUGCCUGAGGUGUUGUUCCCACUGCUUCUUUUCCAUCUCUCCCACCCCUGUAUAUUCUCCCAGGAGCCAUGCUGCCACAGCAGAGAUGAGACUAGGUCCUCUGCACCCCUGGGCCAGACUCCGCAGAGACAGCAUCAGCUGAGUAAGGAGGCGAGUACAGCUACUCUGAUCAUGGUCUCCCAAGGUCUUUACCAGCUUUACAGAAAUCGCAGUGUUUCGUUGGCAAGUGAUUACUUAACACCCUCUGACAAAACCCAUGCCAAUGCCUCCCUCCAUUAAUACAGACAGGUUUUUUUUUUAAGUUUUAAUUAAUUUAUUUAAGUAAUCUCUAUCCCCAAUGUGGGGCUCAAACUGAAGACCCAGAGAUCAAGAGUUGCACAUUCUUCCAAGUGAGCCAGCCAGGCACCCCGACACAGUUUUGAUUUACCAGUGUCAGUUGCUUUCUGAGGCUAAAUCUUUUUUUUUAACAUCAUAUUUAUUUUUACUUUUUAAAAUUUUAUUUAUUUAUUUGAGAGAGAGAGCGAGAGAGCACAAACAGGGGGAGCAGCAGAGGGACAUGGAGAAGCAGCUCCCCGCUGAGCAGGGAGCCCGAUGUGGGGCUUGAUCCCAGGACCCUGGGUCAUGACCUGAGCCAGAGGCAAAUGCUUAACCCACUGAGCCACCCAGGCGUCCCCUGUGUGUUUAUAUAUUACUUUGUUAAUUGCAAAAGUAGCAAUUGCUGAAAGAACACUUAGAAUAUGCCAAAAAAAAAUACAAAGUAAAUAAAAAUUCUGAAAAGUUUUCAUAAAUAACCACUGUAAAAAUUUUGGAGUAUGUCUUUUAGUUCUUUUUCUCACACAACAUAUUUUUUUUUUAAGAUUUUAUUUAUUUAUUCCACAGAGAUAGAGACAGCCAGCGAGAGAGGGAACACAAGCAGGGGGAGUGGGAGAGGAAGAAGCAGGCUCAUAGUGGAGGAGCCUGAUGUGGGGCUCGAUCCCAUAACACCGGGAUCACACCCUGAGCCGAAGGCAGACGCUUAGCCACUGUGCCACUCAGGCGCCCCACACACAACAUAUUUUUUAACUUUCAUUUUUUCAUCACAAAAUAUAUGUGUUUAUUUUUAGAGUAAAAUAAAAUGUUAUAAAUUUAAUGAAAAUUGAAAGAAAUUAAAUUAAUUAAUCAAAUUUAAUGAAAAAUUGCCCUAAUCUUUGCCAUCUAAUACCCAACACUAGGGUAAUCUCUUUUUAACUUCUUUAGCUAUUUAUUUUUUCUAGUAUUUACUGCCAUAUAUCUCAAGAGCAUGUCUAUUCUACUAUUUCUUGAUUUUCAUAGACAUUUUCUAUUUAUUUCCACCAAGGAAGAUAAAGAUUUAGCUCUCUCUCAACUCCCCCUUCCCUUGUUUUGUUUUUUAAGAUUUUAUUUAUCUAUUUAUUUGAGAGAGAGAGAGAGAGGAAGAGCACAGAGGGAGAAUGAGAGGGAGAAACAGAUUCCACCGCUGAGCAGAGAGCCUGACAUGAGGCUCGAUCCCAGGACCCUGAAACCAAAGGCAGAUGUUUAACUCACUAAGCCACCCAGGCACCCCUCUCCCUUCCUCUGUUCUUUUUCUUUACAAGCAUGCACCAACACUUGCAGGUGACUAUAAUAUGAUACUAUAAUUUGGUUGUGUUUCCAUUCUUAACUUUUUGUUUUUCUUAGUGUUAAUAAUUGCCUUGUUUUUCUAUUUGCUUAGUUUUUCAUGUACUUAUUCAUGUAAUAAGUCAUUACCCAAAGUCUCAGCCAAAGUUUUUAAACUCCCUUCAAUAGGUUCAGACAUUCCAAGCCAUCUCUAAGUGUGGUUUUCCCGCUGGAGUCCACACUCCUGGAGCCAUUCACCCUCUUGCUAUAAUCUGAAUUGGCUUCUCUUUAACCAACUACAAGGUUAUCAAUGUUGGACAACACUUCUUUUGUAAUUUCCUUCACUUCUCUCCUAUGAUAGAUCCCUGUUUCCUAGAUCCCACAUCUUUUUUCUUAUUAGCUCUUUUUAAAAUGGACCAUGUCCUUCAGGGGCUUCCUGAUAAAGGGUGCAGAGAAGUAAAGUUUUAUUGUCCUAACACAUCUGAGAAUGUUUUUUUUUUUCCUUCUCUCACACUGGAUGGUUUGACCGCAUAUAGGACUGUAGGUUGAAGAUCACUGCCCUUAAGUUUUAAAAUUUUCUCUUUAUCUCUGUUGUUCCAAAAUUUCAUGAGGAUGUGCAUUGGUAUAAAUUUUA
rnacentral:lncRNA from 1 species